UACAGUCAUAUCAUAUUGAAACACUGGUUCUCAUAUGAUUACUCAAGUUAAGCAAUGUCAGCCCUGAUCAGUACCUAAAUAGGUGACCACUUGGGAAUACCAGGUCCUGUAAG